UACGAAGGGGGCUAGCGUUGCUCGGAAUUACUGGGCGUAAAGGGAGCGUAGGCGGACAUUUAAGUCAGGGGUGAAAUCCCGCAGCUCAACUGCGGAACUGCCUUUGAUACUGGGUAUCUUGAGUAUGGAAGAGGUGAGUGGAAUUCCGAGUGUAGAGGUGAAAUUCGUAGAUAUUCGGAGGAACACCAGUGGCGAAGGCGGCUCACUGGUCCAUUACUGACGCUGAGGUGCGAAAGCGUGGGGAGCAAACAGG
rnacentral:rRNA from 1 species